rnacentral:rRNA from 1 species
UGGGGAAUUUUGGACAAUGGGCGAAAGCCUGAUCCAGCAAUGCCGCGUGUGUGAAGAAGGCCUUCGGGUUGUAAAGCACUUUUGUCCGGAAAGAAAUCCUUGGCUCUAAUACAGUCGGGGGAUGACGGUACCGGAAGAAUAAGCACCGGCUAACUACGUGUCAGCAGCCGCGGUAAUACGUAGGGUGCAAGCGUUAAUCGGAAUUACUGGGCGUAAAGCGUGCGCAGGCGGUUUGCUAAGACCGAUGUGAAAUCCCCGGGCUCAACCUGGGAACUGCAUUGGUGACUGGCAGGCUAGAGUAUGGCAGAGGGGGGUAGAAUUCCACGUGUAGCAGUGAAAUGCGUAGAGAUGUGGAGGAAUACCGAUGGCGAAGGCAGCCCCCUGGGCCAAUACUGACGCUCAUGCACGAAAGCGUGGGGAGCAAACAGGAUUAGAUACCCUGGUAGUCCAGCGCCCUAAACGAUGUCAACUAGUUGUUGGGGAUUCAUUCCUUAGUAACGUAGCUAACGCGUGAAGUUGACCGCCUGGGGAGUACGGUCGCAAGAUU